ensembl:lincRNA
GGUCCUUCGCUGGCGGGUGGGCGGGGGAAGAGUGGGCUCUGCAGGCCGGAGCUAGACGAGCAUCCAGCGCACCCCUCGGACUCCCGGGAGGUGGCCCUGGGCGUCCCCUUUCUGCCACCGCCGCGGCGCCGGCUGCUUUCUGCGUAGCUGGGCAGGCCCCGGGCCCCCACACCGCCUCUCCCGGGAAUGCGGGCGCUCUGGAGCCGAGGAGCGGGGGCGUCCGCAAGGAGGUCAGCUCUCCGGGGCGGAGUUCCUCGGGCGCAGCGCCCUCGCCUGGAAACCAGCCGUCGCCCCCGCAGGAGCCAGCCGGCCCGUGGACGCCCCAGAGCGCUCCUUUUCGGUGCUGCCGGUCGUCCUGCAGUUCCGCGAGGAAGGAAAGCGGAUUUGGAGGAACAGGUUUCGUGACUGUCAUCAGACUGGAAAAGGCCCCGCGAGCUGGAAGGGAGGGGACGGGGGCACCCUCAGAGUUACUGCUGGAGGCUGUGGCCAGGCCGGGCAAGGUGGUGACUCCCGCUGGCAGGCUGCAGCCCCCCCCCAACCCUCCCACCUGCGCCACGGGGCUCCAGGCGGGAACCCCAGUUAUGACCGGACACCAGCGCACCGCCAAGGAGACAGCCACGUGGGGACACGCCGGGCUAGCAGGCCUUUGCCAAGUGUCACUGCUCCGCAUAAGGGAAAAUCAGAGGAACAAGCAAGUGCAUCCAUCCUGCCUCUCUCCCCAGUGAACUGAUAAACCCAUCAGUCUUGUCCGUGGUGCACCUGUUACAUCCCCGGGCGAUGUUGGAGACUGUGGGGAACAGCGGCCACUGCCAAAUACUCAGCGACUGCCCUGUGCCUGGUGGGAUGGUAGGCGUUUGUCAGACUUUAAGCCUCACAAGCCUGUAAGGGUCUCAGCCCCCUUUACAGUUGGGGAAACAGACAGCAAUGGUCACUUGACCAAGUCUUCUUGGCCUGUGGCAGGGCAGCUGGCAUCUCCAGCACCCCUGCUCUUUACCCUCGCUCUGAGUGAGAUGCAGUUUCUGCACUACACGGCUCACAGGCCAGGGUAGGGAGCCGAGCAUCUGCAUAAAGGUGCCAGCACAGGGCAGCCCCAGACUGAGGCUCAACUGAGUCAUCCACGCGGCGGGAAUCGUGCAGGAGAGUGUCUGCUCAGGCGAGAAUUCAGGGAGAUUUGGGCAGGCCUUGAGGGGCGGGCAGAACUGGAGAGGGAGGGCAUUCUGGGCAGAGGCAUGGCCGGAGGGUGAUAGGCGGCAGUGGAGGAAGCUGCAGUUAUCUGGGUGAGCAGGCGGUGAACAAGUGAUAUCUCCCGGCCUGCUGCCCCAGGCCCCCCUAGAAGCCGCGUUCUGGGCCCCCAGCCCUCCCCAGAGUAGAUCAGUGGGGGCUGUGUGAGCAACACGGGGGGCAAUUGGGCAGCGCCUCCCUGGAGGUCCCUCUGAAAUCCCGCCGGACGCUGGCAGGCUCCAAGGGGGCUGGACACCAUCCUCUCAGGUUGAAGCAAGUCCUGGCUGAGUUCCUAGUCCAGGAACUCAGGAGGGGCAAGGGGUGGAGGGCAGAGGAGAAACUGCGUCAGCGAUGUGCCCCCCGCCUUCAUCCUCCAGACAGGACUUGGCAGCGUCUGCGGGACCCCAAUAGAUUCCUCUUUAGGGAAGUCAUCCAGCCCUGGGGUCCCCUUAUGCCAAGAGCAAACAGUGAGGACAGAAGAAUGACCAUCUAUCUUGUUGAAAGCUCUGUGAGGGAGGAACGGAAGGAGCUGUGUCCUUGACCAUCCCCUGAGUGUCCAUGGCCUCUGUGCCCCGGAUGAUGCUGGGGCUGCCAGGGACCACAGAGCCACCCACUGGGAGGCGGGGGGGUUGGCCUGGCUCAGGGGCCUUGGUCAGCCAUGGACACCCACAGCAUGUGAUGGGAAGGGCUGGGAGGUAACACAGGAACUGAAAAACCUGAGAAGUUCCAGCCACUCUGUAGGGUAAGUUGCUCCUGGGGUAAAAUGAUUAUCUGGUUCCAGCCCCUCUGCAGGGUAAGUGGCACCUGGGGUAAAGUAACUGCCUGGAGCGGGCAGCUGCUUUCUCUGCUCUCCCCAAGGCCCUGCGGGAAGGUGGCACAGGGCUGGACCCAGAGGAGCUCUCACAUGCUGAACUGGACUGUUUCAGGGGUCAUCUAGUCCAUUCUCUGCCUCCAGGUGAGGAUUUGCCUGAGCCUGAAGGAUCCUCCCAGCACUGUCAAGCCCCAGAUUCCACCUCCCUGUGGGUGGACUGUCAGCGCAGGCCCUGACAACACAGAGAAAGACACAGGACCCAGCUGGGCCAGUAGCUCCUGCAGUAGCUCCUGGUGCCACAGGUGAGGGUGGGGAUGCCUGGAGCACCAUGGGGGUCCUUGUUUAGUCUACAGCAGGGUCUUGAAAUAGGUUAUAAGUGUUACAUCUUGACACAGUGUACACAUGCUGACACACAUAUUAAAACAAAUUUUACACAACAGUAUUAUCCUGAGUAUGAGUGAUGCCUUUUAAUGAGUUUAUAUUCUAUUCACUUUUUAAAAUGCUGGUCUACAUCCACUGAAUUGAUUUUAUGACCUACUAAUAAUAUGUUAUAACCCACAAUUAGAAAGGCAUCGUUCUAGGGCAGGACAGAGGAAGAUAGAAAAGAAAGAGAAGCAGAAAGGAAAUAAUAAGGACAAAGGGAAGGAAGAACAGAGAAAGGACAGAGUGGAGGAGGGUGUUUUGUGGGAGGUCACACAAAUGCCUGCCAUGAUGUCCCUUCAGGCUUCUCCUAACAUAAACUACAUCCCAUUCUGUGUCUGCCCUUAAGUCUUUUCCAUUGGACCCUGGAUUUAUAUUCUAUUAAUAUAAAAGAACACAUUUUUGGUGGAAGGGAUAUAUAAUAGAAUAUAUAAUAUAGAUAAGAUACACAUAAUAGAAUAUAUGUUUGGUGGAAGGACUAUCUUUUCCACCUCUGUAAACCCACAGCUUCUAGCAGAAGAAUUAGAAUCAGGCAGAAAGCUUAGCGAACACCCCACCCCUAAGUCAAAAAAUUCUCCAUUUUGCAGGAAUGGAAAUUGUGACUCAUAAUGGUCAGCCAGACAGUCAAUGAUUAUCUCCACCAGGCCCUGGUGCAUCAAGAUUUGCUAGUAGGUGGUCAUAAGCAUCUGUUUUUUUAAAUCUAAAGUGAAGACAAUGAUAUCUACUUUGGAGAUUUGGUGGAAGGAUUAGCAAAAUGUACACCAAGAACAGGGUCUGGCCCGGGCAGGGUGGCUCACGCCUGUAAUCCCAGCCUUGGGAGGCUGAGGCAAAUGGAUCACCAGAGGUUAGGAGUUCAAGACCAGCCUGGCCAACAUGGUGAAACCAUGUGUCUACUAAAAAAAUACAAAAAUUAGCUGGGCGCAGUGGUGGGAACCUAUAAAUCUAGCUACUUGGGAAGCUGAGACAGGAGAAUCGCUUGAACCUGGGAGGUGGAGGUUGCAAUGAGCCGAGAUCGUGCCGUUGCACUCCACUCUGGGAGACAGAGCGAGACUCCAUCUUGGGAAAAAAAAAAAAAAAAAAAAGCACCGGGUCUGGUACACCAUAGAAGCUCAAUAAAUAACAUUUGCUAGUAAUAAGAGUAAUAACCAGCCAGGUAUGUUGGCUCACACCUGUAAUCCUAACACUUUGGGAGGUCAAGGCAAGAGGAUCUCUUGAGCCCAGGAGUUUGAGACCAGCCUGGGUAACAUAGGGAGACCCCGUGUCUAAAAAAACUUUAAAAAUUAGCUGGGUAUGGUGGCCCAUGCUGUAAUCCUAGCACAUUGGGAGGCCGGGCCAGGAGGAUUGCUUGAGCCUGGGACGUCGAGGCUGCAGUGAGCCAAAAUCAUGUCAUCACACUCAGCCUGGGUGACAGAGCAAGACUCUGUUUCAAAAAAAGAGUAACAGCCUCAGAAUAAAACCAGUCACUUCAGGUAUGCUGCUGUUAUUAACUUUUCAGGGAGUUUUGGCUGCCAAUGUCUUCAUCCUAGACAAUGGAAAUCAUCACAAAUACCCAGAUAAUGUCCACGGAAAUCAAAACAAAGGAAACACAUGCAUACAUACACCAGCAAAAAAUGAAUUCAAGCACACAGGCCUUAACAAAUGCCUUGGUUACAUAAACUUUUUUGUUGAGACGAAGUCUCACUCUGUGUCACCAGACUGGAGUGCAGUGGCACGAUCUCAGCUCACAGCAACCUCCGCUUCCCCGGUUCAAGUAAUUCUCUUGCUUCAGCCUCCUGAGUAGCUGGGACUACAGGCAUGCACCACCAUGCCCAGCUAAUUUUUGUAUUUUUAGUAGAGACAGGGUUUCACCAUGUUAGCCAGGAUAGUCUCAAUCUCUUGACCUUGUGAUCCACCUGCCUCAGCCUCCCAAAGUGCUGGGAUUACAGGCUUGAGCCACCGCACCUGGAUACAUCAACAUUUCAAGUGAGUGUACGUUUUUGAAAAAUGAAUGGAAUGAUCUUAUUCCUCCACUGAUUUUGCUCAGUAUUUUGGGAAAGACAUAAUCCUCAGGGACUUUGGGCUACUCCCAGGCUAUGUGCCAAAAUAAGCAUAAAGAGUAUGUGGAGAAAUGGAUAAUAUAAGCGGAAAAGGGAGGGGCAGGAAAAUUAUGAUAAUAAGAACUCAAGAACGUUCUCUCUUUCCUCUGCAGAUCUUUGAAAUUCAUAGUUUAUAAAUAUAAAUAUUUUGGAAAAUUUAGUUUUAGUGCUUAGUGUUUAGAAUACUGUGUGGUUUUUUCUUUACAAAGUGAAUCUAUUAACAAGCAAAUUUAGUAGAUAAUUUAAAUUAUGCUAAUCAGAAAACACAGCCUGCUGCCGCGGUUCAUGCCUGUAAUCCCAGUGACUGGAAGGUUGAAGUGGGAGGAUCACUUCAGCCCAGGAGCUCCAGGCUGUUGAGCUAUGACCACGCUGCUUGCACUCCAGCCUAGGUAACAGAGCAAGACCCUAACUUUAAAACACAAAAAACAAAAGAACACACUUUUUUGUAAAUUAAAGAUGGAAGUAUUUUGGUCUAAAUUUGUCUUUUCCCUUCCACUAGAUGGCAGAAUGGAGCCACUCUAGAUAGUGCUAGCAAGGCAGCAGCUCUUCUCCCAACAUUUUUUUUUUUUUUUUUUGUGGCGGAGUCUCGCUCUGUCGCCCAGGCUGGAGUGCAGUGGCGCGAUCUCGGCUCACUGCAAGCUCCGCCUCCCGGGUUCCCGCCAUUCUCCUGCCUCAGCCUCCCGAGUAGCUGGGACUACAGGCGCCGCCACCACGCCCGGCUAAUUUUUUUUGUAUUUUUAGUGGAGACGGGGUUUCAUUGUGUUAGCCAGGAUGGUCUCGAUCUCCUGACCUCGUGAUCCGCCCGUCUCGGCCUCCCAAAGUGCUGGGAUUACAGGCUUGAGCCACCGCGCCCGGCCCCUUCUCCCAACAUUUUAAAUGGUCAAACUGUAUUUUUGUUUUGGUUCCCUCUCUCGUUUAAUGAAAAAGAAAGGUAAACAUUGCGUAUGCAAAUUUCAGGACCAUUUCAUUUUCACUGAAAGAGCUGGAGUUGCCUUAAGGAAACUUCGUG